AAAAAAUCGUCUUGGGUAACUAAAUCUUGGGUAUUAGCUGAUAAGAUUAGGUGUCAGAAGUGUUAUAAAACAAAUCAGAUGAAUAAUGGGCAAACUGUUACUUCUUUCACAGCCUGAAGGCUCUGCAGGGAGAGCGGCCUUCUCUUAGCUUGUCAGGAGUGGGCAUUUUUCAGUCGCAUCUUCGGCCGAUAUAGCGCUUAUUGGGGCGGCCUUUGAUUCCCGGCAGCUGUCUUAGAUCAGAGAUGUUUAUUCCACUGCGAAACCUCUUUGGAUAGAGACGGGGGAGAGAGCUCAGAGCGGGGGCAUCCGCCUUAGCCUUUGAAGCGCCUCUUGCCGUCCUUUCUAGUCUUCUCGGCAAACCCCAAACCCUCUUCUCCUGUCACAAGUCAGUGCCCCGAGAUAAGAAAAGCCUCCUGCAAAUUAGCACGGUGACACGUCCGAAGUAACAACGGACCUCCACUGGCGGCUUUUGCGUUUCCGAAAAUCGGAUGCUUGACGCCGCAAGCCUCUCGGUCCAAAGAGGUUCCUUUCCCCGUUCCCUGUUCUGCCUUUAGAAAAUAUUUCUUUAUUUGGUCAAGGAAUCCUAUCAACGACAGGGAAAAAGUUGCGGUUGUAUUUCUCUUAAUGUAAGGAGGGGAGAGGGGAAAUAAACCUCCCCCCCCCCCUUUUUUUUUUUUUUAUUAUUUAUUGGACACCGUUUCGAGCGCACCGUAAUUAAUUUAAAUGCACUUGCUGGACGGGUUGCAGAGUCCACCUUCAUUGUAGGAAGGCCCUUGAGAAACGCAGGGCACCGAGAUGACGCCUCUGUGUCCAUCCAGCUUCGGAGGCUGUGGGAACAGUCCGAGUUUGAAGCCAGCUUGCUUUUGCUUUGCUUCCCACCGCCACCCCCCUUUCCGCUCCGCGUAAAGGCUUUUGGUUUUGUCUUAAAAGGCAUCUGAGAACCAACCUUUCGAAAUAGGCAAGGAGAGUGCUGAGGGGAAAUCACCCGAGCCUGCGGGAAACCUGCGUUUCGACAGCGUGUACAUGCCACAGAGCCAUCAGGCAAAAGGGCAAGAGUGGAAGCUGAAAAUCCAUUUCAAAAGGCAGAGAAAAGAAAUGAACAGCAACAACAACGACAAAAAAAGCCAAAAGGUUAUUUCUUAUCAGUGUGAGAUGGCGUUUGUACCCCACACCAACACCGCUGACUCCUUACACCGAGGAAAAUGAGGGAAAACCCUACAGCACUCUUCAUCAGUCAAACUGCUUGUUGUCUUUGAAACUAUAGAAGAAACAGCCCCACAACACUAUUUAGGGAAGCGCUGAGAAGACCUGUUUUUUGAUCUCCUUGUUCACUUACUUAUAAAGAAACAAGAUUUUAAUAUAUUAUUUUUGCUUCCAUAUUUCUUAAAUAAUGUUGAUGUUCUCAUAUUUUGUCCUGAAUAUGCAUUUCAUGAUUUAUGUUUUUU